UAGCCAACUCUUUUGAUUUUUUGGAACUUAUGAAUUAUGACAAGAGAGAAGAAAACUGACUUUAAAAGAAAACCGGUGAGAUUAAAUCAUAUGAAAUGUAUGAUGAAUCAGGAUGUGAUCAUUUGAGGCAUUCACCAAUGUCAUUACUAAUGACAAACAGGAGAAACGGAGACGGGAGAAUGGAAAGACUGAUCUUCACAGACAGCAGUCAAAACAAAGCAAAAGAAAGCGUUCAAAACUGGAAAGAAGAAAGAAGGCUGUGGAACAUCUUAAGUUAUCUAGAGGAGUCAUGGACCCCAACAUCUAAAAAGAACUUGACGGAGUGCCUUCAGUUGGACAUAACUUCACCCGAGAAGACUGAUGACGAAAACUCAACAAAGUGGGUCAGGCUCCCAUUUUCCUGGAAAACAACCAGACUGUGCAAGGGAAAAGAGGCACUGGACAAGGCAUAUAGACACAAGGUCCUGAAGACCGAAUCUGCAGAUGCCAGUUGGUAUUUGUAAGGGAUGGUAGAGAGGACACAACAACACCUCCUCCUGAGAAGUGUCCAGUUUGGGCCAUUUCCAGGGACUACUCCUCAUAGAGGUCAAACGAGGUUUCAGCUAUCAAAAGAAUACAAGAAAAAGAACUUUUUAAUUCUGUGGUUGGGGAUUUCCAGAUGUAAAUAUUGAUAGUUGUUUUGUUUUUUUUUAAUGUACCUGUAAUCAACAGUUCAGGGUAUAUAGUUUUUCAUUGUUGGUCUGUCUGUCUGCAGAAGUGUAAACCAGGCCUAAAGCUUUUGAGUGGAUGGGGCGACUGAUUUCACAGAUGUAUUCUUAGUGACCAGACUUGUUGACCUCCUUACAUGGACCUUUGAGUUUCAACCACUUUAACAAAAAAAUUAAACUGUAUUCUUGGCCACAACUUUCAAAUAGUUGAUGCUAGAGCUUUCACUUUUGCAUUCCAUUUGACAAGACUUUCAACAGGUAUAAAUAUUUUUUUGACAUUGACCUUCAAGUUGGACUCACUUUUAAAAUAUUUUAACCUUGGACAGAACUUUUGAAAAGCAAGUACUAAGGCUUUCAUAUUUCGACGGUGACAAAACCUUUCUCUCGAUACCAACAUUUUUUACCUUGACCUUUGACUUGCAAAUGAGAAACUACAACACACACAAUAAGCUGUCAUUUCGGGGCAUCAGUGUUUCACAAACACAUUUUUAAAUCAACAAGCAAAUUCAAAGAAUUGUGGUCCCCCGCUUUCAGUGUCUUUUGGGUGAGAUGUCAUUUUUUAUGACAUUUUGCGUAUAAUAUGAACGCCCUAUCAUAAGUCAUCUAUUUAGAAAUUAUCACUGAACUCCAAGAUCAAGGUCAAAGGGUUAACAUUCUUGUAUCCAAUGAAAAGUCUUCUCAAAAGGAUUACAUGAAGUAUGAAAGCCUUAGCCCUUACCAUUCAAAAGUUAUGGUCAACCUUAAAGUUUUCUCAUAAGUACUAAAAAUCUCCAAGGUCAAGGUCAAAAGGUCAAGGUUGUUGGUAUCAAAUGAAAGGUCUUGCCACAAAGAAUACAUAUGUGAAGUAUGAAAGUUCUGGUAUCUACUGUUCAAAAGUUGUGGCCAAGGUCAAAGUUUUUGAAAAGUAGGUCAAAUUCCAAGGUCAAGGUCCAAAAGGCAAAGUUCUUGGCAUUCAAUGAAAGGUCUUCUCACAAGAAUUAUAUAUGUGAAGUAUGAAAGCCCUUGUCCUUACCAUUCUAAACUUAUGGAUAAGGUUAAAGUUUUCUUAUAAGUACGAAAACAUCCUAGGUAAAGGUCAAAAGGUCAAAGUUGUUGGUAUCCAAUAAAAGGUCUUCCUACAAAGAAUACAUAUGUGAAAUAUGAAAGUCCUAGUACCUACCAUUCAAAAGUUAUGGCCAAAGUCAAAGUUUGGAAUUUUUGUGUAAAAUUGGGUCAAACUCCAAGGUCAAGGUCAAAAGAUCGAAUUUGAUGGUACCCAAAGAAAGGUCUUGUCUUAAGGAAUACACAUAUGAAAUAUGAAAGUCAUGGCUCCACUAAAUCAAAAGUUAUGGGCAAGGUUAAAGUUUUUGUGAUGGAUGGACAGCUAGACAGACGGACAGACGAAUGAGAUUUAAUAUCCCCUUGCUUUCCCGAAAGCAAGGGACAAUUAUUAACAGCUCUUAAGCUGUUCAAGCAGUAGAAUACAGUAGAAUUCAGAGGUUAUAUUUUGUCAAUACCUCAAGAAUCGGAUUCUAUGAUUAUGAAAGUAAAUUUCUGUUUUUCAUUUAUAUUCAUCUUUUGAUAGUCGAUGUUAUACCUUAAUUCUAAUGCCCUGUUCACACGAUGAGUUUAAUUCGCAGUAAAUUAAUGCGAAGUAAACAAAUGCGAAUCAAACUAAUGAGAAUUAAAUUGCAUUCACACAACAGCUAAUGCGAAGUUUAACUAAUGCGAAUUAAAAUUCUACUUCUACUGCCAGGCGUCAGUAAGGCUAUUAUGACGUCAUUUGCAAAUCACGUCACCUAAUGCAGGAGCAGCUGCAUUUGACAUAAUAUUACAGUGUCUGUAUACACAUUUUAGAAAUUAACACAAUUUUCCUUAGUUUUUACUCAAAAAUAGCACUAAUACUUCAAUUUGACCACUGACAUGUGGCAUUUGACCUAAUUUUGCCAUUACGCAUGCCUCAAAAUUUAAUUCGAAUCAGCUUCGCGUAGCGUUCACAUGGAGCUAAUGCGAAGUAAUUUAAUGUGCAGUAAACUAUUCGAAUUAAACUAAUUUGUAUUGAAAUCUCCAUGUGAACGCUAUGCAAAGCUAAUUUGCAGUAACUUUAUGUUUAAUUCGAAUUAAACUCUCCGUGUGAACAGGGCAUAAAUAUCAAUAGUCACUAAUUUGGUUUUCAUGUAUAAAAUAUUUAUAUGAUAGUAGCUAAAGCACCUGGCCAUGUUUGUAUUUUUGUUUUACAUACAGAUGCAGUGUUGAUGUUUUGAUAUAUUUUUGUAAAAAUUGUUAUGCUUUUUCAUAGAUUUAUUUUUUAUAAUACUGUAGUAACUUAAUUGAGUCCCUGAAUGUCAAUAGUCACUAAUUUGGUUUUGAUUUAUAAAAUAUUGUAUUUUUUAUAAAUAUAGUAACUAAAAACAAGUCAUGAUUUUUUUUAUGUUGUACAUAUACAAUGUUGAUGCUUUGAUAUAUCUUUAAAAUUUGUUAUACUUUUUCAUAGAUUUAUUUU